rnacentral:lncRNA from 1 species
CUUGCCGGAAGGGGCGGGGCUUCUGCCUUGGCGAGAGAGGGCCGCGUGGCGGGCGCGCUUGUUCUGGGUGGAGACCGGACCGCAGUGGAGCCGCAGCCGGUGGGAGCGGGAUGCAGCAGGGACUUUGCAGACUUGAGACUCAGAGCAGCCAUCUGUUGCCAGGUACGUGCUCUGGCACCGGCCGCCUCUGUGCUCUCCUGCCUGCCGCUGCCAGAGGCGAUGGGGGAGGGGACCGCCACCGCCUUUCCGGUAAUGUAGUUCAUUGUGUCCCUGCAGGUGGAGACCGGACCGCAGUGGAGCCGCUGCCAGUGGGAGUGGGAUGCAGCAGGGACUUUGCAAACUUGAGACUCAGAGUAGCCAUCUGUUGCCAGGUGGAGACCGGACCGCAGUGGAGCCGCUGCUGGUGGGAGCGGGAUGCAGCAGGGACUUUGCAGACUUGAGACUCAGAGCAGCCACCUGUUCCAGACUGAUUAAUACAGGUGACCUGAAACUUGGGAGACUUUUAGAAACAUCCCCAAAUUUUAUUGCUUCAGGACUACUUUUAAUACUUCAAUCUGGCUGGCACAACAAAACAUCUUAACAAAAUCCAGUAGUGCAAAAUUACUUACUUUCUAGUCAAUCCAGCAAGAUAACUGUAUUUAUCUAAUUUGAUUGUAAGCUUCAAAAUUGCCU